AGUCACUGACAUUAGAUACCCCUGUAGUCCCAGCCGUAAACAAUGUGCGUUAGGUGUGUCGGUAACCACGCGUUACUGAUGCGCCGAAGAGAAAUCGUGAAACGCACCACCUGGGAAGUACGGUCGCAAGGCUGAAACUUAAAGGAAUUGGCGGGGAGCACCACAACAGGUGGAGCCUGCGGUUUAAUUGGAUUCAACGCCAGACAUCUCACCGGAUAAGACAGCUGAAUGAUUGUCAAUCUGAAGGUUUUACAUGACUAGCUG
rnacentral:rRNA from 1 species